GCCCCUGUAGUUUAACGGACAGAAUGUCGGUUUCCGGAACCGAUGAUACCAGUUCGAUUCUGGUCGGGGGCG
rnacentral:tRNA from 1 species